UACAGAGGGGGCAAGCGUUGUUCGGAAUUACUGGGCGUAAAGGGCGCGUAGGCGGCCUCCUAAGUCGAACGUGAAAUCCCCGGGCUCAACCCGGGAACUGCGUCCGAUACUGGGAGGCUUGAAUCCGGGAGAGGGAUGUGGAAUUCCAGGUGUAGCGGUGAAAUGCGUAGAUAUCUGGAGGAACACCGGUGGCGAAGGCGGCAUCCUGGACCGGUAUUGACGCUGAGGCGCGAAAGCCAGGGGAGCAAACGGG
rnacentral:rRNA from 1 species